AUCUAGGAGACGAGUCCCAAAUGGGACGAAAUGCGCAUCCUGGAU
rnacentral:hammerhead_ribozyme from 1 species